AGGUGCUGCUGCCGCGGCCGCCAGGGAGGGAGGUGUCGGAGGGCGGGCCCCGCGCGGUGCUAGGGUUCCGUCUGGACUGGCGGUGGUGGGUCCCAACCGGCGGUACCGGGUUCCUUCCCGACCAGCGGUGCUAGGUUCGGUUCGGACGCGCGCUGCUGGAUCUAAAUGGGCAGUGCUGGGUCCGAUGGGUGGUGCUGUGUUGGGUCCGGACGCGCGGUGCAGAGUCCGGACGGGCGGUGCUGGAUCCAAAUGGGCGGUGCUGGAUCUGGACGGGCGGUGAUGGGUCCGAUGGGCGGUGCUAUGUUCGGUUCGGACGGGCGGUGCUAGGUCUAAAUGGGCGCUGCUGGGUCCGAUGGGCGGUGCUGCGUUCGGUCCGGACGGGCGGGGACGGGCGGUGCUGGGUCCAAAUGGGUGGUGAUGGAUCUGUGGACGGGCGGUGCUGGUUCCAGACGGGCGGUGCUGGGUCCAGACGGGCGGUGGGUCCGAUGGGCGGUGCUAGGUUCGGUUCGGAUGGGUGGUGCUAGGUCUAAAUGGGCGGCGCCGGAUCCGAUGGGCGGUGCUGGGUUCGGUCCGGACUGGCGGGUCCGGGUCUGGACGGGCGGUGCUGGAUCCAAAUGGGGGUGCAGUGCUGGAUCUGGACGGGCGGUGCUGGGUCCGAACGGGCGAUGGGUCCCAUGGGCGGUGCUAGGUUCGGUUCGGACUGGCGGUGCUGGGUCUAAAUGGGCGGCGCUGGGUCCGAUGGGUGGUACUGGGUCCGGACGGGCGGUUCUGGGUCUGGACGGGCGGUGCAGUAUCCAAAUGGGCGCUGCUGGGUCCGGACGGGCGGUGCUAGGUUCGGUCCGGACGGGUGGUGCUGGGUCUAAAUGGGCGGUGCUAGGCUCAGCAGGGGACCGGUGGGCGUGGCGGCACAGGUACGGAGCGCAGGGCCGGUGGAGCGCCCUCUCCGAAGGGCCCUGCGCUCCCCGCGCUCGCUGCUCCUCCUGCCCGCGCAUUGCCCCGGGGCUGCUGCGUGUUUCUUCCAGGGUGAUUCCUUUCCGCUGGGUCACUUCAAAGCCGACCUUUUCAAGCUGUUUUCUUCCGCGGAGGACACGUUGUUAGGCUUUGUGUGCAUUUCAAGGGUCAUGUUUUCUGAACCGCGCUCUGCCGCUCUUGGGGUGUUCGAGCCCCCACACUGCUGUGCGGUGUUCCUCUCACAGAGUGAGGUUGGAGGGUCCCACUCCCUUUGUGUGUCUCCUUAGAAAACGCCUCUUCUCUCAGACACAUCGUUAUCUGCCAAUUCUUCGCAGACGUAGAGAACGGACUGCAGAGUUAAUAAACGUCGAGGGGAAGCUUUGAUGCGCCCCAUUUGGCCCUGAGAGAUGCCACGUGAUCGUCAUUUUAAAUCCUUUCCUGGGCUUCCCGAUGGACUCGAGUUUUUACUAUGUGAGCAUCCCGGUGCCUGCACAGCAAGGACUCUCAUUGGGUUCCACACGUGCUGCGCAGAUCCCUGACGCAGCGUUCACUGAACCUCAACUGCAGGAGCUUCAUUCCUGAGGACGCUGUUACCAAGAAUGACUUGCCUCUUGAAGAAUGAGUUUGCAAAGCCGGCAGUUAGAUUGCUGAUGUCCAAAGUAAGUAUGUGUAGCAUCACUAAAGAGAAAAUUCAGGAUUCCUGGAAAACAGUUAUGGGCUCUCUGCAGUGUUAUUUUUGUAAUAAAAAACAUAUAGCAUAUGUGAAAUACCUACUGGGUGAUGCAGGACACAUAGAAGGCUCGAAAUUAAUGUGAAUCAUUCUCGUUUUUCUGACUGUCAUUAAAAGUCCCCAUUUGUAUUAUGUAUGAGUGGUAUAUCAAUAUCUAAACUACACUUUAUUGUAGGUCCCAACCAACAUUAGUUUAUUGACAAAUGUUUAAGAGCAGCCAAAAAUUCAUAGAAUACCUAUGAUUCUUAAAUCAUGAACACUCCCAUAACUGGUAUAUGUUUAGGACAUGAAAAUUUCCAGGCUGACAAAUAAUUUCGCUGUCAUCGGUCAAGACUCCAGGAUGAUAUUCUGAGCCAUAUGUUAAUUUUGAUAACCACCUAGAACAAUAAAAGGUAAACAUGCUACCAUCUUCUAUUCUCAUUGCACCACUGGAUUCUGGUACAUCUAAAAAUUGUACUUAAAUGAUAUCCAAGAAAUGCUGUAAAAAACAAAAUAGGGCCGGGCGCAGUGGCUCACACCUGUAAUCCCAGCAUUUUGGGAGGCCAAGGCGGGCAGAUCACGAGGUCAGGAGAUCAAGACCAUCCUGGCUAACACGGUGAAACCCCGUCUCUACUAAAAAUACAAAAAAAAAAAAAA
rnacentral:lncRNA from 1 species